rnacentral:tRNA from 1 species
GAGGGUAUAGCUCAGGUGGUAGAGCACAUGCUUAGCAUGCAGGAGGUUCUGGGUUUGAUCUCCAGUAACCCCU